UCGGUAAUAAUAUAAAGUUCUAACGGUUUAUGUUCAACAAUUUCAUAUAUGAUUAUUGAAUAACACAGUAAUAUAUGUUAUUGUAAUUGACCCAUUCGACAAGAGUCAAUGACGUAGUAGUCGUGAAACGUCAACUGCGAUGGAUCAUGCGUAAGCAUAAAAAAGACAUGUUAGAGUUGAAGGCUUCAAUUCAGUCAUUGACUCUCGCAAUGGAGACGUUUGAGAACCGUAUCAUUGGUCAGAUUCUAGAUGGCCUGAAAUCAUAAGGCGGUGCUUCUUCUCAUGAUGAUGGUGAGGACCACGAUGAUGCUGAUGAUAAGCAACAUGAUGAACCUAGUGUUCACAUUCACCAUGACAUUGUUGGUCCUAACGGAGAGAAUGUAACUCAUGUCGAUGACGUUCUCGAUGAUGUUGUGGUAGGGGAUGUGACCCUUCAAUCAGAUGAUGCUGAAAGAGACCAUGUUCCUGAUACUGAUUCGAUUAUCGAUGCAUCUGUGGGAAGAGAAAAGAACUUUCACUCAGUUGAGGCUGAAAGAUACCAUCUUCCUCAGGCCGAUGCAAUAAUCGAGGUAGCAGUAAGAAGGGAUGGGAACCUUGCAUUAGUUUAGGCUGAAAGAGACCAUCUUCCUUAGGCCGAUGCAAUAGUCAAAGUAGUAAGAGGAAAAGAUGGGAACCUUGCAUCAGUUCAGGCUAAAGGGGACCAUCUUCCUUAGAGCACUCCUAAAGGUAGUGCGACACGGGUGUUGUCACUAGAGUUGUCUGAUGUCAAUCAUCAUGAAGCACUGAAUUUAGACCCAAUUGAACGGGCACAGGUCAAAAUGACUAGAAAAUACAUGGCAAGCUCGUACGUCGACCUGUCAGUGAGCCACUAGGAUCUAAAGAACUCAAUGGUGGAAGCGUACGAAGCUUUCAAGAAAGACGAGUGUGUGAGGUAAACUCAUAAAUAACAUUACAAAUAUUAUUUUUCAAUAAAACAUUAAUCUACCAAGGCUUUUGGAAUUCAUUCUGUUACUUGUGCAAGCGUAACGUCGGGAUCUUAGGGGAUCAAGGGGUUAACUUUUUCACAACAUUAAAGGAUCCCAAAGAGGAAAUGAUAAGUGAACAAAUGAUGCAUGCCUCAGCGUACUAUAUAAGCGAAUGACAGGGUCAAAGUCUAAGUUGUACAACACGCGUGCAUGCGUGGUUGAUACAAUAUUCUUCGACACCAUCCAUAUGCUCUACACCGCAUUUCCAACUAAAGAUGAUCGAUCCACUAUGAAAAUUUCAGAUGAGUUGCAGGGGUACGUGCAGGGUGAAAGGCCAACAUACGGUAAAAAAAGGGAAGAUGUCGAUUUCAUCCUUGUGCCUUGCAAUAUGGGUGGGCAUUAGGUGGUUGCGAAGAUCGACUUAGUCAGAUGGAUGAUCAAGGUGGUGGACUCCGCAAGAAUUUUGGCUGCUAAGGAUAACGGAGUGCGUUCUGCUCAAAUAACACCUUUUACGACAAUAAUGCCAAUCAUCUACCACCAAGCUAGUUAUUUCAACAAAACGCGUCAGAAGACACGAGAUUCGACACCGAUGCCAUUGAAAAUUCAUUUGCCAAAAGUUAAAAUGCAUCGUUAGAAUGAUAGUGUCAGCUUCGGUAUGUUCAACAUAGGGUACAUUGACUUUAUUUUGGAAUCGAAACCAAUCAGAGUUAAGCAAAAUAUGAUUGCUAAUAUACGUCUCCAAUACGCUUUAGAAAUUUUUAGCAACAGUUUAGAGAGCGAACCCUAAACCCUACACCAUUAACAU